rnacentral:snRNA from 1 species
GGAUGUGAGGGCGAUCUGGCUGCGACAUCUGUCACCCCAUUGAUCGCCAGGGUUGAUUCGGCUGAUCUGGCUGGCUAGGCGGGUGUCCCCUUCCUCCCUCACCGCUCCAUGUGCGUCCCUCCCGAAGCUGCGCGCUCGGUCGAAGAGGACGACCUUCCCCGAUAGAGGAGGACCGUUCUUCGGUCAAGGGUAUACGAGUAGCUGCACUCCCCUGCUAGAACCUCCAAACAAGCUCUCAAGGUCCAUUUGUAGGAGAACGUAGGGUAGUCAAGCUUCCAAGACUCCAAAAAAAAA